GACCCGUCUUGAAACACGGACCAAGGAGUCUAACAUGUGCGCGAGUCACGGGGUCUUGUUCAGGCCCAGAGGCGCAAUGAAAGUGAAGGUCGGCCUUGACGCCGACCGUGUUGGGACUCUCCACCUCGCGUGGGGAAGCACCAACGACCCGUCCUAUCCGAUUUAUCGGUUGGGCGGAGUGUGAGCGUACACGUUGGGACCCGAAAGAUGGUGAACUAUGCCUGGGCAGGACGAAGCCAGAGGAAACUCUGGUGGAGGUCCGUAGCGGUUCUGACGUGCAAAUCGAUCGUCAGACCUGGGUAUAGGGGCGAAAGACUAAUCGAACCAUCUAGUAGCUGGUUCCCUCCGAAGUUUCCCUCAGGAUAGCUGGCGCUCGGAGGAAUCAGUCUCAUCCGGUAAAGCGAAUGAUUAGAGGCCUUGGGGCCGAAACGACCUCAACCUAUUCUCAAACUUUAAAUGGGUGAGAAGUCCGGCUUGCAUGAUCGAAGCCCGGACGUUCAGGAUGAGAGCGCCCAGUGGGCCACUUUUGGUAAGCAGAACUGGCGCUGUGGG
rnacentral:rRNA from 1 species